UGAAAGACACGUGACCAGCUGAAAAUCACCAAGCAACUAGAACCCAGGACUCCUGCCCUUCAUCUGACAGCCCACCGGUACCCCACACCCCAAACAAGGCUCCUCUUAGGAGGAGCUGCCCUUGAAAACCCACUUCUACCUGGGGAAACCUGGCCCCUGUGCCUCGCUGGGUACAGCGCUGCCACCCCCACUGGCUCCUCCCCCAGGCUUGACCAGAGAGGGAGCUGGGAGGCCAGCACAGCACCUGGCCCCUCUGGCAUGCCAGGCACUCCAGCUUCCUGCCCGCAGGGUCUGCGCCUCGUGGUGCCUGGGAGAUGCUCACAGCCCCGCAGAGACCUGCACCCAGACCCCGUCUGUCCGUCCUCGCGGCACACCUGGGAGGCCGCUGGGCCCGGAGAAGGAAGGGAGGUCGGACCCCUGGAGGCACGAGUGAUCGCACGCUGCCACCUGCCGCUGCCGGCACCUCUGCCGCGCGCGCGGCCGCCCUGCUCUGCUCUCGCCGCAGCCCCACACGGAGCACCUGGCAAACAGGCAGAGGAGUGCCCGCAGCCUGCUGCAACCCCACGACCCAAAGGAAGGCAUCCAGGAAGCGGGGGGAUCCGCUGGAGGGCCCCACACGCUGACACUGCCACCCUGGCUCAACUGCUCCCCGCCCCCGCAGCUCCCCUACCUGGGCCUCAACGUGCCCCACGGACCACACUGAUCCUGAAACCUUCUCCUCCCACACCUGUAGCUCCCCGGCCCCUCUGCUCUCAGGUAAGUCCAACUCCUCCUGCCACACAGCGGAUCCUACCUGCCCACCUCACCCACGUGCCAGCCCAGGGAACCGCCUGGGCUCGCGUUCUUUCCUGCUUGGGACGCUGCCCAGCUCGCUCCUGA
ensembl:lncRNA